AGCGGCGGACGGGUGAGUAAUGCCUAGGAAUCUGCCUGGUAGUGGGGGAUAACGUUCGGAAACGGACGCUAAUACCGCAUACGUCCUACGGGAGAAAGCAGGGGACCUUCGGGCCUUGCGCUAUCAGAUGAGCCUAGGUCGGAUUAGCUAGUUGGUGGGGUAAUGGCUCACCAAGGCGACGAUCCGUAACUGGUCUGAGAGGAUGAUCAGUCACACUGGAACUGAGACACGGUCCAGACUCCUACGGGAGGCAGCAGUGGGGAAUAUUGGACAAUGGGCGAAAGCCUGAUCCAGCCAUGCCGCGUGUGUGAAGAAGGUCUUCGGAUUGUAAAGCACUUUAAGUUGGGAGGAAGGGUUGUAGAUUAAUACUCUGCAAUUUUGACGUUACCGACAGAAUAAGCACCGGCUAACUCUGUGCCAGCAGCCGCGGUAAUACAGAGGGUGCAAGCGUUAAUCGGAAUUACUGGGCGUAAAGCGCGCGUAGGUGGUUUGUUAAGUUGGAUGUGAAAUCCCCGGGCUCAACCUGGGAACUGCAUUCAAAACUGACUGACUAGAGUAUGGUAGAGGGUGGUGGAAUUUCCUGUGUAGCGGUGAAAUGCGUAGAUAUAGGAAGGAACACCAGUGGCGAAGGCGACCACCUGGACUAAUACUGACACUGAGGUGCGAAAGCGUGGGGAGCAAACAGGAUUAGAUACCCUGGUAGUCCACGCCGUAAACGAUGUCAACUAGCCGUUGGAAGCCUUGAGCUUUUAGUGGCGCAGCUAACGCUUUAAGUUGACCGCCUGGGGAGUACGGCCGCAAGGUUAAAACUCAAAUGAAUUGACGGGGGCCCGCACAAGCGGUGGAGCAUGUGGUUUAAUUCGAAGCAACGCGAAGAACCUUACCAGGCCUUGACAUCCAAUGAACUUUCCAGAGAUGGAUUGGUGCCUUCGGGAACAUUGAGACAGGUGCUGCAUGGCUGUCGUCAGCUCGUGUCGCGAGAUGUUGGGUUAAGUCCCGUAACGAGCGCAACCCUUGUCCUUAGUUACCA
rnacentral:rRNA from 1 species